AAUGAACGCUGGCGGCAGGCCUAACACAUGCAAGUCGAACGGAUCCUUCGGGAUUAGUGGCGGACGGGUGAGUAACGCGUGGGAACAUACCCUUUGGUACGGAAUAGCCUCGGGAAACUGGGAGUAAUACCGUAUGUGGUCGAGAGACGAAAGAGUUAUCGCCAAAGGAUUGGCCCGCGUUGGAUAGGUAGUUGGUGGGGUAAUGGCCUACCAAGCCGACGAUCCAUGUCUGGUUUGCGAGGAUGAUCAGCCACACUGGGACUGAGACACGGCCCAGCCUCAUACGGAGGGCAUCAGUGGGGAAGCUGAAACAAUGGGGGAAACCCUGAUCUAGCCAGGCCGCGUGAUCGAUGAAGGCCUUAGGGUUGUAAUGAUCUUUCAGGUGGGAAGAUGAUGACUGUACCACCAGAAGAAGCCCCGGCUAACUCCGUGCCAGCCGCCGCCGUAAUAC
rnacentral:rRNA from 1 species